GAUGAACGCUGGCGGCGUGCCUAAUACAUGCAAGUCGAGCGAACAGACGAGGAGCUUGCUCCUCUGACGUUAGCGGCGGACGGGUGAGUAACACGUGGAUAACCUACCUAUAAGACUGGGAUAACUUCGGGAAACCGGAGCUAAUACCGGAUAAUAUAUUGAACCGCAUGGUUCAAUAGUGAAAGACGGUUUUGCUGUCACUUAUAGAUGGAUCCGCGCCGCAUUAGCUAGUUGGUAAGGUAACGGCUUACCAAGGAGACGAUGCGUAGCCGACCUGAGAGGGGGAUCGGCCACACUGGAACGGAGACACGGUCCAGACUCCUACGGGAGGCAGCAGUAGGGAAUCUGCCGCAAUGGGCGAAAGCCUGACGGAGCAACGCCGCGUGAGUGAUGAAGGUCUUCGGUUCGUAAAACUCUGUUAUUAGGGAAGAACAAAUGUGUAAGUAACUAUGCACGUCUGGACGGUACCUAAGCAGAAAGCCACGGCUAACUACGU
rnacentral:rRNA from 1 species